rnacentral:rRNA from 1 species
GACGAACGCUGGCGGCGUGCCUAAUACAUGCAAGUCGAGCGGACCGAAGGGAGCUUNCUNCUUUANGUUAGCGGCGGNCGGGUGAGUAACACGUGGGCAACCUGCCCUGCNGACUGGGAUAACUUCGGGAAACCGGANCUAAUACCGGAUAACACCNAAANCCGCAUGGUUUUCGGUUGAAANGCGGNNNUUAGCUGUCACUGCAGGAUGGGCCCGCGGCGCAUUAGCUAGUUGGUGAGGUAACGGCUCACCAAGGCGACGAUGCGUAGCCGACCUGAGAGGGUGACCGGCCACACUGGGACUGAGACACGGCCCAGACUCCUACGGGAGGCAGCAGUAGGGAAUCUUCCGCAAUGGACGAAAGUCUGACGGAGCAACGCCGCGUGAGCGAAGAAGGUCUUCGGAUCGUAAAGCUCUGUUGUCAGGGAAGAACAAGUACCGUUCGAACAGGGCGGUACCUUGACGGUACCUGACGAGGAAGCCACGGCUAACUACGUGCCAGCAGCCGCGGUAAUACGUAGGUGGCAAGCGUUGUCCGGAAUUAUUGGGCGUAAAGCGCGCGCAGGCGGUUCCUUAAGUCUGAUGUGAAAUCUCGCGGCUCAACCGCGAGCGGCCAUUGGAAACUGGGGAACUUGAGUGCAGGAGAGGGGAGCGGAAUUCCACGUGUAGCGGUGAAAUGCGUAGAGAUGUGGAGGAACACCAGUGGCGAAGGCGGCUCUCUGGCCUGUAA